rnacentral:rRNA from 1 species
CACGUAGGGCGCAAGCGUUGUCCGGAAUUAUUGGGCGUAAAGAGCUCGUAGGCGGUCCGUCACGUCCGCUGUGAAAACCCAGGGCUCAACCCUGGGCUUGCAGUGGAUACGGGCAGACUAGAGGUAGGUAGGGGAGAAUGGAAUUCCUGGUGUAGCGGUGAAAUGCGCAGAUAUCAGGAGGAACACCGGUGGCGAAGGCGGAUCUCUGGGCCAUUACUGACGCUGAGGAGCGAAAGCGUGGGGAGCGAACAGG